rnacentral:lncRNA from 1 species
AUGGCUCACUGCAGCCUGAAACCCCUGGGCUCAAACAAUCCUCCCACCUCAACCUCCCAAGUAGCUGGGACUACAGACGUUUGCCAGUACACCCAGCUAACUUCUUUAUGUUUUACUGUAGAGACGGGAUCUUGCUAUGUUGCCCAGGAUGGUGUCAAACUCCCUGCCUCAAGUGAUCUUUCUGCCUCAGCUUCCCAAAGUGCUGGGAUUAUAUAUAUGCAGGCGUGAGCCACCUGUGUUCAACUCCCUAUUUUCUUUUUUUAAUAACAAUUUUAUUGAAAUAUGAUUAACAUAUCAUACAAUUCAUUUAUCAAAUUAUGCGAUUCAGGCCGGGCGCAGUGGCUAAUUCCUAUAAUUCUAAGACUUUGGGAAGCUGAGGCAAGUGGAUCGCUUGAGUUCACAAGUUUGAGACCAGCCUGGGCAACAUGGCAAAACAGCAUGUCUAGAUAAAAUACAAAAAUUAGCUGGGUGUGGUGGCUUAUGCCUGUAGUCCCAGCUACGUGGGGACAUGAGGCUGGAAGAUCUCUUGAGCCCAGAAGGCCUAGAUAGGUUGCAGUGAGACCAGAUGGUACCACUGCACCACAGCAUGGGUGACAUAAGGUGACCCUGUCUCUAAAUAAAUAACGAAAAGAAAGAAAGUAUGCAAUUCAGUGGUUUUUAGAAUAUUCACAGAGCUGUGCAUCCAUCACCACAGUCACUUUUAGAAGUGAUUACCCACUUAUGAGGUACCCACUUAUGAGUGAGAAACCCUCACCUCUUAGUCACUACCUUCUACUUCCCCCAUGUUCCUGUGUCUUUAUAGGCAGCCACUGAUUUUCUGUCAUUGUAGUUUUGCCUAAUCUGGAUUUUUUAUAGAAAUAGAAAUUGUACAAUAUAUGAUCUUUUGUAGUUUGCUUUUUUUUCUCUUAGCACAGUGUUUUCAAAUUUCUUUCACGUUAUAGUUUGUAUCAGGAUUUCUUUCCUUUUAUAGCUGAGCAAUAGUUUAUGUUUAUCCAUUCAUCAGUCAAUGGACACUUGUGUUGUUUCUUGCAUAUUGGCUGUCACAAGUCACGCUGCUAUAACCACUCACAUGCAAGUUUUAGUGUGAACAUAUAUUUUUAUUUCUCUUGGAUUUACACCCAGGAGUGAAAUUGUUACAUUAUGUGAUAACUAUACAUUUAGCCUUUGAGAAACUGCCACGUUGUUUUUCAAAGUGGUUACACCAGUCAGACCCUGUGUCCAAAAAAAAUUAAAUAAGUCUACUGUCAAGAGAAUUUUCUUUCCAGGUGACUACUGCUCUAAGGAAACCAUUUGAACUUUAGUUUUAGCACUUCUGUGCUAAAACUUAAGAAAGAUGUUAAUGACUAUUCAUCUUAAUUGUCAUAUCAUUUGUUACAUGUGAUUCACUUAGCUAAAUAUCACUUAGAAAUUCAGAGUUCUGUUUACCAAAGAUUUCAAAAAAUUUUCCCAUGAAACAGCCCAGUCUUGAAAUGAAAAGUUAUAUAUGCAUAAGAUUGCCUGUCACACACCGGACAAACCAAUUAAAGGAAGUAGAAAUUGUCAUAUGUCUCAGAAUAGAUUGUAUGUAACAUUCUCAAAUCUAGGUGAGAUUAGAUUUGAGAUUAGCUGACUUUGAAGAGAGUUAGUCUUUUUUUUUUUUUUUUUUGAGACAGACUCUUG